rnacentral:sRNA from 1 species
UACCUUUUUACUUGUUAUUUUAUUUUUGGCUAUUUUUUAUUAAACGGUUAUUUUAUUUAUUUACAUUUCAACUGUUGUCCUGCUUUCCACACUCCCCUCAUCAAACCUUACAUCCCUUUUCUGCUCAGCUUUGCCUAUGUGACAGUGCUUCCCCACCCACACAUAUCCAUCCCCACCUCACACCUCUAGGAUCUCCAUUUGGUGGGCAACAGGCCUCACCUGAACCAUAGAGCAUCCUUGCAUACACUUUGGCUGGCAGUUUGGCCCCUGGGAGCUUGGGGAUUAGGGAAAGAAGAUCUGUUCAGAUAUUAAAGCCAAUGAUUGCUGCAUUCUCUUCUUUUUCUGGUUAUAGGUGAAAUUAUGUUUGUGUGCUUCUCUUUUUUUAAAUUAUUGAGAGAAGAUUAAUUUCUUGGUUUUUCUUGGGUAUAGUUUAGUUCAUUGUCUUGGAGUUUUCCUCCUAUUAGCCUCUGUUGUGCUUUCCUACAGAAAAGAAUUCUUUAAAUUUGGUUUUGUCAUGAAAUAUCCUGGUUCCUCCUUUUAUGGUGAUUGAGGAUUAUGCUGGAUAUAGGAGCCUGUGUCUGCAUUACAUCUGCCCAAGAUUUUCUGACUUUUAGAAUCUCUGUUGAGAAGUCUGGUGUAAUUCAGAUACGUCUGAAUUUAUUUGUUACUAGAUAUUUAUACCUUACCCCUUUUAAUGUUCUUCCUUGAUCUGUGCAUUUAGCGUCUUAAUUAUUAUGUGAAUGGAGGAAUUUUUCUGGUACAAUUAGUUUGAUGUUCUGUAGGCUUGUUGUACCUUUAUGGCCUUUUCUUUCUUUACCUUAUGGAAGUUUGCUGCUAUGAUUUGUUGAAGGUGUUUACUGGAUCUAUGAACUAGAAAUCUUAAUUCUCUUCUCUAUCUAUUAUCCUUAGGUUUCAACAUUUAAUUGUGUCCUGAAAUUCAUGGAUGUUUUGGAUUCAAUAAACCAUACAUGUUUAUCUGAGAUGGGUGUUUUGUGCUUUGUUGGUGACCUCCAUGAUGCCAAUUCUUCCAUUUAGUAGAACGUUGGAUAAUGAGACAUGGUCAGGAAUGGUGACUUAUUGACAUAAACUAUAUGAAAAUAGGUAGGUUAAUUUAUGUGUGUUAAGUAUCAGUAGUCUCCUGGGUGGUUUUGGUUCCCAGUUGGCCAUGUGCAACUGUUUCAAAAGCCCAGGUUUGAUGUUCCUUGGGUUUCCUAUGAUGAUGCACUCAGAUAUGACAAAUAUCAACAGAAUCGUCGUCAAAGAACUUAAUUUAUAUAAUAGACCGAAAAUUACUAAUUAUGUUACAAAAUAUUUGAUCACACUGUGAUCUCCAAGAAUGUAUUAUUUA